AGAUUAUUGUGAGACAUUGUUUCUGUUCAGCCGUUCCACUCCUGGGAGCUAAUAAUCUACUCGGAGGCAGAAAGCCUUCAUAGGAAACAGGUCACAAGGCACGGCAUUACAGAAUUUCAGGACCGCAGAAUCUGUGCCCUGGAGCAGCCAAGCAGUCCUUGACAGUGGCAUCUCCUUAGACACACAGCUGGGUUCCCAGAAAGCCAUCGUCUGGCCUCUCUCCCUAGACUGGAAGAAAAUCUAUAGAGUUCAUACAUAGUUCCAGUGUGGAGAUGAAUGUCUUUCAAGGCAAAGGGUUUGCAUUAAAACAUAAAACCAUGAUGAAGUAGAAGGAGAAACUGGUCGUCAACGUGAGCAUGCCAGACAAGUCAGCAUGCUACGAGAAGAAGCAUGAGAAGAAGAAGGAGGAGGAGGAGGAGGAGGAGGAGGAGGAGGAGGAGGAGGAGGAGAAGGAGGAGAAGAA
rnacentral:lncRNA from 1 species